CCGCAAUUUUUUUGAAACUUGCAGAUGAAGAAACCAGAUUUGGGGAUCCCGAGUGGCCGCAGCGGUCUAAGGCACUGCAUCUCAGUGCUAGAGGCAUCACCUCAAACCCUGAUUCGAUUCCAGGCUGUAGUUCAACCGGAUGUGAUUGGUGAUUCCCAUAGGGCGAUGCACAAUUGGCCCAGUCGUUAGGACAGAGAGCCGAUCAACCCCUUCUCUGUUCCACUCCUGAUUUUCGGCAGCAAGUUUAAUAUCUUUCAGGACUUUGACUCAGAGGAGAGGAAAGUGAUCUGCAACACCCUUUGGUUUAUUGCCCAUUACUACGCAGCUUCUUUGAUGUAGCAAGUCUGAGAGCUUCAUGUCCAAAACUAAGAGCUUAUUCACACAACUAGCAUUUGGGACAGAAAAUGGGU